AAUUCUCAACUCCGAGUAAGAGACUUGUCUGUCUAUCUGGGAGCUUGGACUUGGAGUGUGCUGGCCUGGCUUGUCAUAGGUUGGCUCCUCUCAAAAGCAUUAGCAAGAUGUGUUUAGGGAUUUUUGCAGACUUCAGUGUGAUAGGUGUGUUGCGCUGUUGUCUGGCAAGUGGAAGGGGGAGCAUCUGCUUACAAUUUGUCUUUUGAAAGACCCUUUUGAA
rnacentral:misc_RNA from 1 species